GCAAAAGGAACAAAAAAUAGCAUUUAUCACUUCCCUUUUCUUCAGUUAUUUUUGUUACUUCCACCCUUGAGGCCACUUUCCUUAAAUGAUAGAUUGCAAUUUUGUGUUGUGAAUGAUGAAUGUUGAAUGUAGGACGGGGAAAAUGAUGAAACAUGGCUCUGUUUUCAUCAUAUCACGACUGUUUAAGUC